AUGAAUAGACCGUAGGGGGGAUAAGUGGCAAUAGAACACAGCCAGGAACUCUUCUGCGCGAGUCAGCGUGAUGUGCGUGCGCGGGCUCAUCAUUUGAAUUAAAUAACGGACACAAGCAACGGGCGGAACGGUAAUCAAAGGUAAGUAAGUUACGAUAUUCGACGUUUCACAUGUUUUAUUUGUCGUUUUACUUAUAAUUUAUGUUGAAUUGAACUUUAGAUGUGUAACGUUUUACAUUAUAAUAAUUUUUAAAUGAACACUUAACCACUUUAUACGUUUUUAUGUCGCCCUGUAGUGACGAGGUCAUUGACAGCAGCUAAUGAAUAAUAGCUGUUUUGGUUAUUUAUUUGGCGAUUUCAGCAAAAUUACUUAAUUUUAUGUCUUCAUUGCUUUCUAACCUGUGUAAAAAUAUAAGAUGAUCUGUUAAAUCGACUUGGAAUGAGCAUAAAAUAUUGCUCCGGCUAUAACGUUAAAGGCUAACUUAACGUUAUAAGAAUUAAGCACUUCGCAAAUAGCAUUAAUGGUGCUUAUCAUCGAGCUAACAUUUUUUAACAUGUAAUAAUCCUAACAAAGUGAAUCGCUGUCGGUUCACGGUUUUGUUGCUCUGUUUGUAAAUUUAGUGAUGGUCUCCUCGCCAGAGAAGCUAGCAGCAUUCAAUGGGGAAGCUUUGCUAUUUCUUUCGCUGGAAUCUCCAAUUGAAAACAUCAUCGUGUGCGCUUAGACUUCUGUUCCAGUUCUGACUACACCACACUCUGCUUAUGUGGAUCACUGACUACUAUGUUCUCUGAAGUGGGGGAAACCGGAGCACCUGGAGGAAACCCACGCAAACUCCACACAGAGACGCCAACUGACCCAGCCAAGGCUCGAACCAACGACCUUCUUGCUGUGAGGCGCCACUGCAGCGCAGAAUCUGAAGCAGGUGCAGCCAAACUGCGACACAACAGCCACCGAAUUUACAGGGCCUUGAGAGAUCACCUGUACGGUCUGGCGGUGGC